CCAGCCCGAUGCUCUUCGGGAAAUCCCGGUAUUUAUACAUUUGCGGAGGAACGGGUUUCGGCACACGUGGCCAGUGGGUGCCAAAACACGCCUCGGUUGCAACAUAGGGAGCCUAUGACGCAUGCGCUUGCUGGCCAGGCACGCUGCACGCGCCAUAGCCACCCUGUCUAUUGGUUCAUGGGCUUUAUGAUGCGAUUG